rnacentral:rRNA from 1 species
CGCUGCCUGUCAAGUACUGGCGGUGGAGAGUAGGCUGAUUUGU